GAGAGAGAGAGUGGGAGGGAGAGAGAGAGAGAGAGAGAGAGAGAGAGAGAGAGAGAGAGAGAGUGGAGGGGAGAGAGAGAGAGAGUGGGAGGGAGAGAGAGAGAGAGGAGAGAGAGAGAGAGUGGGAGGGAGAGAGAGAAGCCAGCCAGAUUCAUUGAAGCGAAAUCUGGCUGAGGCAAAGCGAAGCGGUAAACCAGCUGAGCGAACAUUCCCCAAAAGGAACAUACAAAUAGAGAGGAGAGGGUGAGAGAGAGGAGAGGGUGAGGGAGAAGGAGAGGGGGAGAGGAGAGAGAGAGGAGAGAUGAUGGGAGGUGAAAGAAGGGUGUAGCUGGAGAGAUUUGAAAAGAGGGCAGAAGCAGAAGAACGACGCACUCUGCGCCCUCACUGCCAAUCAGUCUUUAAGGAGGACGGUUGGGGUUCCUCUUUAAUGGCCACACACACACACACACACACACACACACACACACACACACACACACACACACACACACACACACACACACACACACACACACGCCCCUCUUUUUAAAAAGCUGCCUCGCCUGCGCCCUGUUUUUUAUAGCAGUGCAUGAAAACUGUUAUAAAAACACAUUUGGUAUAUUAGAGGACACACACACAUUAUUCAGAGCAUCACAGCUGCUUUUUGAAUCAGAACAAACAUGAUGAAUUGAUUAGACAGGUAAAUAAAAAAUAAUAAAAACAGGAACAGAUCUGCUGUUAAGUGACGAUGUUUUCUCCAAAGCGCUGCGGAUGCGUACAGAAUGAGAUUUCAGACCCUAACUUUAUUCCUCCGUCGCUCCUUUUGAAAGAGCUAUGUAGCCAUGGUAAUGGAGGAGGGGGAGGUGGUAAAAAAGGCGUAACAUGGGGGGGACCCCCAUGACGGUGACACGGGAAGAGGGGGGGCCGGUGAUGCUGUCUCACGGCCACCUCCCCCCAUCGGCCACAACUCAACACUCAAGUCUCAGAAGAUUGAAAAAAAGAAAGAAAGAGAAAAUCAACCGUUGUAAACUGGGAGUCCGCUCAGAUUGUCAAAGGGAUGUUUGAGACAAGACCACAUAGUGGGGGUGGGGGGGGGGGUCACCCCCAUAUAAAACAGCAGAGCCCAGGGGAAGACGUAGAGAGUAACACAGACCCCGCUUAGGUGGAAGGAUUCUACAGUAAGUUUUGGUGAUGGCUAUCCCUAAAGAGUAAAGGUUUCAGGCUGGCUGGAAAGUGGAUAUUCACAAUAAAAGUUGUAAAGAAGAAGAAGCGCUAAUUCGGACAGAUGCUACCGUCGAUGCUAACACCAUAUUAUAUAUACAGAAAGUAUCGGCUGAUAGCA